AUCACUUCUCAGCCUUUUGGCUAAGAUCAAGUGUAGUAUCCAUUCUCACCAGUUUAAAAAGGCAUUUUUUUUUUGCUUCUAUUGAAAAAGUCUGAAAACAAUAUCUUAAUAUGUCUUCUGAUCUUUU
ensembl:snRNA U2 U2 spliceosomal RNA